rnacentral:rRNA from 1 species
UACGUAGGGCGCAAGCGUUGUCCGGAAUUACUGGGCGUAAAGGGCGCGUAGGCGGCCUACUAAGUCGGACGUGAAAUCCCUCGGCUCAACCGAGGAACUGCGUCCGAUACUGGCAGGCUGGAAUCCGGGAGAGGGAUGUGGAAUUCCAGGUGUAGCGGUGAAAUGCGUAGAUAUCUGGAGGAACACCGGUGGCGAAGGCGGCAUCCUGGACCGGUAUUGACGCUGAGGCGCGAAAGCUAGGGGAGCAAACGGG